rnacentral:lncRNA from 1 species
UUACCUUCAAACCAAGUGUUCAUAUGGGAUCAGGCAAAAGCAGGUCCUGAAGGCAGGAUCCUGAAGAUCAGGCACCACCUGACAGAAUUCUCAAGCACCUGACUCAUCACCUCUGCAGUGCAUCCCUUUCCAGAAGUCCACUCUCCUGAUUCACCACCAGUGGAAGUUUUAACAAUGGAAACACCAUCUGUGCAAGGUGUCCACAUUGCUAGCUGGGCGGUGAAUGAUUCAGCUCCAAAAUCCCAUUUGAUUGCCUGCUCUUUCCAGACACAACUGCAGCAAACUGGAUUGUCUAGACACAGAUGAUGAGACAGAGUUUAGGGUGCAAGAAGCUAACUAGGGAUCAACACCUGUGUAAGGAAGCAGGUGGAAGCACAAUUGAAGUUGAGAAAGAUGAAGAGGUUGAACUGCCCUGCAGGCCAGAUAGAGCCUUGCCAAACCAGUGGGGAACUCGGAGGAAGUCCUGCCUGCCAGUUUCCCAUGUGGAGCCGAAACAGUCGUGCUUUUAUCUCUCCACCUUGCUCAGUCACCAGAUGCAGGCCACGCCCAGAAGGGUAUGUUUUUCUCUGCAGCUCAGACUGAUGUUGAGGAGCUGGGAGCUGGAAGCCACCUGCUGACUGCACUCCCUGCAGCUGGUCAGCCCAUCCUUCUCGAGGGGCAUCUGAAUGGCAUCUUCAUCAGGUCUACAAUUUUAUGUACAUGCCACAUUCUGGGCUUUCCCACUUUGAAGCAAUUAUCAGUUAUGAAUGUUAGGAACACUUUGUACAAGUUUUACCGUGACCAAAUGCUUUCAUUUCUCUUGGGUAAAUAUCUAGGAAUGGAAUUGCUGGGUCAUGAGAAUGCAAGGCUGGGUGCAGUGGCCCACGCCUGUAAUCCC